AGUCACAUCACACUGAAAUUCCAAUUCCUGUAUGAUCACUGUAGUUAAGCAACUUUGAGCCUGGUCAGUACAGAGAUGGGUGACCACUUGGGAAUACCAGAUGCUGUAAGC